AGUAAGGAAAAGCAGGUUUUGAUAUACAAACAAUUAAGAACACUUUUAGAGGAAAGAGAUGCAUUUGCUUUUGAAAGAAUGUUAGAACAAUUCUGUAAUAAUUUAUCAGAUCCCGACACUACAGAUUUUAUACUUUAUUUUAAGAACAAUCAUCAAAUAAAUUGCAGUAAUUGGGCUUACUGCUACAGAUUACAUGCAGGGCUCAAUAGAAAUAUGCACCUCGAGAGAAUGCAUAGAACGAUCAAGUAUGUCUAUUUGGGUGGAAAGAAAGUCAAAAGAUUUAUUAGAAACAAACUUAUUGACAGACUUAUUACCAUAAACAAAGGAAAAAUAUCCAGCAAAUUGAAGAACAUCCGUGAUCGUCAUAAGAAUGUUGGAAAAAUUGAUUCUUCUUCCAUUGUAAGCACUGAACAUGGUUGGGAAAUAGCGUCAUCAACCAGCAGUGACAUUUAUUUUUAUUCAAAAAGUAAGGGAGUCUUCCACUUGUCAACUAACUUGUUCUCAGUGUAAAAUUUGCAUCCACAAGUAUUGUUGUUCCUGCCUGAAUUCAGCAAUAAAAUUCAACAUGUGCAAACAUAUGCACUUACUUGCUCAACACAUAAAAGAAUAUGCAAAUUCCAGAUCUCCAAUAAUGGCUACCAAGGAUACCAUGGAAGAUGAGGACAACAAUUUAUAUAUCCACUGUGAUCAAAAAAAUGACCAGACAGACGUAAUUCUUAGCCAACUAUCAAAGAAAAAGAAAGCAAAUUUAUCAAUACAAGAUAGACAAGUAGCAAUAAUGGAUAAAUUUCAUAAAAUUCUUUAUGGCGACAUGUCUAACGAAAAACUAGACAUAAUCGAAAAAAUGGUUGAUUCUCUUUCACCUACCUUGGCUGCUACAGACCAUUUAAAAGAAGUUGUGUUGCCAUCGUGUAGUAAGAAGAUUGUCCACAAUCAGAAUAUAACGGCACAGAGACGAUUAUGGUCAACAAAAAAAAAGUCAAGACGUCUCAAAAAACCUUCCACCAUGGAAGCCCAAAAACUUGCUUUAAAUAUUUUGUUAUCUGAUAAUAAAUAAAUAGAAACAAUAAAACAUA